rnacentral:rRNA from 1 species
GACAGAGGAUGCAAGCGUUAUCCGGAAUGAUUGGGCGUAAAGCGCGUGUAGGCGGCUCGAUAAGUCUGCUGUGAAAGUCCAGGGCUCAACCCUGGGAUGCCGGUGGAUACUGUCGAGCUCGAGUCCGGAAGAGGCGAGUGGAAUUCCUGGUGUAGCGGUGAAAUGCGCAGAUAUCAGGAGGAACACCAAUGGCGAAGGCAGCUCGCUGGGACGUGACUGACGCUGAGACGCGAAAGCGUGGGGAGCAAACAGG